UUACACGUUCCAAUGUAAAAAUUUCAAAGCAACCAUAUUGUAGCUUUCAUUGAAAGACCAUCGGAGUUGGAUUCAAGUGAUUCCCAAACAUACACUAAGAGGGUGUUGGACCCAGGGUAAAUCAUUAAUGGUCAGAGACAUGGCAGUAAUGUACAAUUGUACAUCCUCUCAGACAGACACUGAAAUAAUAGUGGACAAGCGGAGGUGUCACCUCGUCAAGUAGGAAUAGUGAUGCACAAAAGAAGACGUGAGAUCUGAUGCUAACAUUAUCUAACACUGUUUAAUGUUUGUGCAUAUGUAUUGUUACCCUUUUUAUCUUUUUCAAAUUCGAUAUUCAAGUUGAAUCAGUGUGUUGAUAAGAAUCUCAAUAGGUGAAAGUUUGACAGAAUAA